CUAUGAUUGAAAUGAAAAUCAUGGCAGAAGGAG
rnacentral:ncRNA from 1 species